CUAGUCAUGCAGAAUUGAACGCGGAAGGUAUGCUCGUUGAAUAUACAAGCAUAAUUUCUGUGGUAAAUAUCAUAGACAUGUCAUGCAACAAUCUAUCAGGAGUGAUGCCAGAGGAGAUAACAAAUCUCUCAACUUUGGUGACCCUGGAUUUGUCCUGGAACCAGCUAACUGGUAUGAUACCAGAGAAGCUUGAAGCAGUUAGAAGAUCCUGACCUCUCAUCUAACCACCAUUCUGGCUUAUUCCUCCGAGCAUGACUUCAUUGACUUUUUUGAAAAACUUGAAUCUGUCGUUCAACAAUUUGUCUGGACAAUUCCAUCCACCAAUCAGUUCCAUACCUUCAAUGAUCCAUCAAUUUACGAGGGUAACCCAUAUCUUCGUGGACCUCCAUUGCCAAUCAUGUGUGACAUCACCAACAAUGGGAAAGCUGGAUUCAAAAGUUACAAAGAGAAAGGUGAAGAUGAUCCUGAAAAUCUAUGGUUUUACAUGGGCAUGGGAUCAGGAUUUAUAGUGGGAUUUUGGGCUGUUUGUGGAAGCUUGGCCAUCAAGAAGUCUUGGAGACAUGCCUAUUUCAAGUUUCUUGAUGGAGUGGAAGAUAAGCUAUUUAUGUUCAUUACGCACAGCUCACUGGCAAUUAAAAUGAAGAUGGCAAGAAACUAGAAGGCAAAGAACCAUAGAGAACGCGAGUCAUAUGGAUGAUCACGCUUGAGAGGAAAGAACGUGAACUAAAAGGAAGGCAAAUCAUUCCUCGUUGAGUGCAAAUUGUUCGAGGGGGGUGGAACUGUGAUGGAAGAAGAGUCAUGAAUAAACUGGAGCAUUUCGCUGCAUUUGUGCUACUAUGUAUACACAAAAUUGCUGUACUGGGAGCUGAUACAAAUCUGUAAUAUAUGUAACCUUGUCAUGUUCCUAUUUCUUGUGUUUUUCUCUCAUUGAACAUUACCGUGACCGACUUUAUUUGCCAGGGAGGAUAAGACUUAAAUCAAACUGGAAAAAUGUUGGACAUUUUA